rnacentral:rRNA from 1 species
CCCUUAGAUGUUCUGGGCCGCACGCGUGCUACACUGAGUGGAUCAGCGGGUCAGGUUGCGCGAAAGUGUUUCCUAAUCUUGAAAUCCGCUCGUGAUGGGGAUUGACGGUUGCAAUUUUCCGUCAUGAACGAGGAAUACCUUGUAAGCGCGGGUCAUCAUCCCGCGCUGAAUACGUCCCUGCCCUUUGUACACACCGCCCGUCGCUCCUACCGAUUGAGCGGUCCGGUGAGGCUUUGGGAUCUGAGCGGAAAGAGCGUUUCGCUGCUUCUGCUCGGAAAACUCAGUCGAACCUUAUCAUUUAGAGGAAGGAGAAGUCGUAACA